AUUACAGCGCACUAUAGCCUCAAAACUCCUGGGGUCAAGAAAUCUUCCUACCUCACCCUCCUGAAUUGCUGGGAUUACAGGCUUGAGCCACCACGCCUGGC